ensembl:lncRNA
CUGAGGUCACACAUUCUUAUUUUCAAUGACAGCCUAGGAACAGUGGGUUAACUGCCUUUUCAGGGGCAGAACGACAGAUUCGUACCUUGUCAGCUCGGGGGUUUGAACUCGCAACCUUCCGGUUACCAGUCCAAUGCUCUAACCACUAGGCUACGCUGCUGCCCUGUCCUAAUGAGAGGUGUGUGGCUGGUUGAAGUUUUCAACAAGCAUGUCUAUUCUGGGCUCUGCUUUAGUGCAACACUGAGGUCAUGCUCAGCAUUGAGUCAGUUUCUGUACUAGAGAACCCUGACUCACAUAAGUAUGUGGUGCCAAACUGGAUCAGAACAUCUGCUUUCUCAGUGAGGCAGGAGGCCGCUUCCUGCUGUAGAUGAACAACCCAGAACUGUGAGUGGGUUCUCAGUCAUGCAGGAGGCCGCUUCCUGCUGUAGAUGAACAACCCAGAACUGUGUGAGUGGGUUCUGUCAGGCAGGAGGCCGCUUCCUGCUGUAGAUGAACAACCCAGAACUGUGUGAGUGGGUUCUCAGUCAUGCAGGAGGCCGCUUCCUGCUGUAGAUGAACAACCCAGAACUGUGUGAGUGUUUUCCUCAAAAAGUAUCUGGCUUCAGUUGAUUGCAGUUCAGAAUUAAAAUUACUUGUAUUUUAACAGCAACAGUUCCAACCUAGUCUUGUUUUCAACAAUAAUUUCUACAGUAAAAUGUACAGUAGGCCUGAAUUUGUCAUCUGUACUGUUACUAGAGUUGCACUAUCAGUAGCUAGCUAGCUUGCUUUGGCUAACAUUGUAAUUAACGUAACAAGGCCAGGGGAUUGUUUGAAAGAGAAACUCACAUCAACUACUAUGAGAGAUAUUACUCCCUUAUUUGUGCUUAUCAUCCAUCACCUGUUAUAAAAUGACAACAAUGCCUUGCUUGUUAACUUACUUUUCCACUUUCUAAGCAUCGUUUCCUGAAGCAUUCUGCCCUGUUCUGAAAGACCUCCCUGGGUUUACCACCAUGCUGUGGAUGUUUGAUCAGGACGUGUCAUUUUAUUAAUUGGUUCGUUUUGCGAGACUCAUUACUAAGCAUUUCCACACACAAAACACAUUGUGGGAGCUCCUCGUUACUUCUCAAAGUUUGUAUGAAAGAGACAGAAAGUCAUCACUGAACAGAGAGCACUGCUAAGCAGAGAGAGCACUGAACAGAGAG